GAGAGAGAGAGAGAGAGAGAGAGAGAGAGGUGGGGGGGCAAUGUGAUAUACCCAACCAGGUUUCUCUGUCUCGCUAUCAAUCUACAAAGGUGUUAUUUCGCAGUCUUUGAUGUUAUUAUGAUGCCCAUAUUUCUCUCUUUCUCUCUCUCUCUCUCUCUUUUUCUCUCCCCCUCAAUGCAUAUAGUAACACUUGAUCCACUCGUCUCCCUGACACCCGCCCCGUCACAACCACGGCCACUGCAGAGGCGGCAGGAAUCCUUGCUGAAAUCAUAUUGGAACGAUGAGAUUCGCGGUAGCCGUGUGUGUGGUCGCCGUCAGCAUCUGUGCUCGCUAAUCUUGAACAAAAAUGUUCAAUUCAUUCUAGACGCGACCGAUAACACGGCGGAGGCGGGGAUCUCCUCUAAGAAUAGCAGCACAAGGCUCAGCACCGCAGGUUCCUCAAUCCCCAGAGGCAACCUGGGCCAUUUAAGUACCUUCAAGGUAGAUGUCACCAAUGAGCAGUUCAGCCACGACCUCGCCUCCUCCACCAGUGGCCUGCCUGGAGAAGCAUCUCUCACAGCCCCUAGCGGCAACUCACUCGGGCGGGAGCGCAUAAAGCGUUGGGCAGUUAGAAAAUUUAAAACUAUAAGUAAAUCCCCAAAAAAGAAAGCAAAAGAAACAGUAGUAAAAAAAAGUAGAAACAGAAAUAAAGAAGUUACAAGAAGCCAUCAAACCUACACUUGGCAGUCAAUGCAUAAAACACCUACCUAUUAAUAACUAUCAUCCUAAUACAAAUAUCUUCUAUUGAUUUAGUACUAACAACCUGAUUAGUGAUUCCGUUUUAUUCAUCAACCAUUCUAUCUAAAAACCAAUUUCUUCCCAUCUCUUUCCUAAAUCUAAAACUUUCAAACGUAAACUCGUUAUUCUUCCUCUAUCCUGGUUCCUGAUUCUAAGAAUUUUGCUUACGUCCCCGUUGUUAUAACCCCUACACCGUUUAAAGACUUUCAUCAGAUCCACUCUUAAGUCUUUCUGAUAAAUGUAAAUUUAAGUCAUUCAGUCUCGUUUCUAAAAGAACACCCCUCAUCCCCUAUAUCUUAUUAAUAUCUUUCCUUUUUACUGACUCUAAUAGACCUAUUUCCUUUCUUAUAAUGAGAGAACCAUAAAUGUACAACAUAAUAUAGAUGAGUUCUGAUCAGCACCAAAAUAUGAAUCUAUUAUUACCUCGAAAUUUCUGGUUGUAACAUUCUAAAAAAUGUAUGCUAACACACUGUUAAACUUAAAUCUGGUAUCUAUGCAUUGUCUUCUUAGAUGGAGAUCAGAGCUACCUGUAACUCAAUCUUCUUCGUAACCUAAACAUACAACAGCUUCGAGGUUUAUUGUGUACUACUGUGUGAGUUUCCUAUAUCUAAGUUAAGUACUUUGAUUUGUUAUCAUUAAACUGGAUUUGCCAUCUG